rnacentral:rRNA from 1 species
CAGCCGCCACGGUAAUACGUAGGGUGCAAGCGUUAAUCGGAAUUACUGGGCGCAAAGCGUGCGCAGGCGGUUCGUUAAGACAGAUGUGAAAUCCCCGGGCUUAACCUGGGAACUGCAUUUGUGACUGGCGGGCUAGAGUAUGGCAGAGGGGGGUAGAAUUCCACGUGUAGCAGUGAAAUGCGUAGAGAUGUGGAGGAAUACCGAUGGCGAAGGCAGCCCCCUGGGCCAAUACUGACGCCCAUGCACGAAAGCGUGGGGAGCAAACAGGAUUAGAUACCCCCGUAGUCCCUGUCUCUUAUAC